AUGAACCAUACCACCCUGAACGCGCCUGAUCUCGUCUGAUCUCGGAAGCUAAGCAGGGUCGGGCCUGGUUAGUACUUGGAUGGGAGAACACUGGAGGGGCACCUGGGUGGCUCAGU
rnacentral:rRNA from 1 species